AGAGUUUGAUCCUGGCUCAGAUUGAACGCUGGCGGCAGGCCUAACACAUGCAAGUCGAACGUAAACAGGAAGAAGCUUGCUUCUUUGCUGACGAGUGGCGGACGGGUGAGUAAUGUCUGGGAAACUGCCUGAUGGAGGGGGAUAACUACUGGAAACGGUAGCUAAUACCGCAUAACGUCGCAAGACCAAAGAGGGGGACCUUCGGGCCUCUUGCCAUCGGAUGUGCCCAGAUGGGAUUAGCUAGUAGGUGGGGUAACGGCUCACCUAGGCGACGAUCCCUAGCUGGUCUGAGAGGAUGACCAGCCACACUGGAACUGAGACACGGUCCAGACUCCUACGGGAGGCAGCAGUGGGGAAUAUUGCACAAUGGGCGCAAGCCUGAUGCAGCCAUGCCGCGUGUAUGAAGAAGGCCUUCGGGUUGUAAAGUACUUUCAGCGGGGAGGAAGGGAGUAAAGUUAAUACCUUUGCUCAUUGACGUUACCCGCAGAAGAAGCACCGGCUAACUCCGUGCCAGCAGCCGCGGUAAUACGGAGGGUGCAAGCGUUAAUCGGAAUUACUGGGCGUAAAGCGCACGCAGGCGGUUUGUUAAGUCAGAUGUGAAAUCCCCGGGCUCAACCUGGGAACUGCAUCUGAUACUGGCAAGCUUGAGUCUCGUAGAGGGGGGUAGAACUCCAUGUGUAGCGGUGAAAUGCGUAGAUAUAUGGAAGAACACCAGUGGCGAAGGCGGCUGUCUGGUCUGUAACUGACGCUGAGGCUCGAAAGCAUGGGUAGCAAACAGGAUUAGAUACCCUGGUAGUCCAUGCCGUAAACGAUGAGUGCUAGGUGUUGGAGGGUUUCCGCCCUUCAGUGCUGCAGCUAACGCAUUAAGCACUCCGCCUGGGGAGUACGACCGCAAGGUUGAAACUCAAAGGAAUUGACGGGGGCCCGCACAAGCGGUGGAGCAUGUGGUUUAAUUCGAAGCAACGCGAAGAACCUUACCAGGUCUUGACAUCCUUUGACCACUCUAGAGAUAGAGCUUUCCCUUCGGGGACAAAGUGACAGGUGGUGCAUGGUUGUCGUCAGCUCGUGUCGUGAGAUGUUGGGUUAAGUCCCGCAACGAGCGCAACCCUUAUUACUAGUUGCCAGCAUUUAGUUGGGCACUCUAGUGAGACUGCCGGUGACAAACCGGAGGAAGGUGGGGACGACGUCAAAUCAUCAUGCCCCUUAUGACCUGGGCUACACACGUGCUACAAUGGAUGGUACAACGAGUUGCGAGACCGCGAGGUUUAGCUAAUCUCUUAAAACCAUUCUCAGUUCGGAUUGUAGGCUGCAACUCGCCUACAUGAAGCCGGAAUCGCUAGUAAUCGAGGAUCAGCAUGCCGCGGUGAAUA
rnacentral:rRNA from 1 species